CUGUAAUUUCACUGGAAAUGUGUACGAAUGCAGGAUGAGAAUGGGACUGAUAUUUAAUGUUUAAAUCCCGGCACUCAAUUUGAUUUACCGUUUCUAUUAAUUACUGGAUACAGUAUUCGUAUUUAUUAUGAUGAAUGCCCCCUUACUUUUACUUGAUGCAGUGUCUGUAUUACUGAAACGUCCAUCCAAUGCAUUACUGUGUAAUUAAUCACUGAU